rnacentral:rRNA from 1 species
AUUGAACGCUGGCGGCAGGCCUAACACAUGCAAGUCGAACGGUAACAGGGAGCAGCUUGCUGAUUCGCUGACGAGUGGCGGACGGGUGAGUAAUGUCUGGGAAACUGCUUGAUGGAGGGGGAUAACUACUGGAAACGGUAGCUAAUACCGCAUAACGUCGCAAGAGCAAAGAGGGGGACCUUCGGGCGUCUUGCCAUCGGAUGUGCCCAGAUGGGAUUAGCUAGUAGGUGGGGUAACGGCUCACCGAGGCGACGAUCCGUAGCUGGUCUGAGAGGAUGACCGGCCACACUGGAACUGAGACACGGUCCAGACUCCUACGGGAGGCAGCAGUGGGGAAUAUUGCACAAUGGGCGCAAGCCUGAUGCAGCAAUGCCGCGUGUAUGAAGAAGGCCUUCGGGUUGUAAAGUACUUUCAGCGGGGAGGAAGGGAGUAAAGUUAAUACCUUUGCUCAUUGACGUUACCCGCAGAAGAAGCACCGGCUAACUCCGUG